GGAAACUUGUGCUAAUACCGGAUAAGUCUUUACAGAGAAAGCUUUAUGCACCAAUGGAUGAGCCUGCACUUGAUUAGUUUGUUGGUGGGGUAAUGGCCUACCAAGACUGUGAUCAAUAGCUGAUUUGAGAGGAUGAUCAGCCACAUUGGGACUGAGACACGGCCCAAACUCCUACGGGAGGCAGCAGUGGGGAAUCUUGCACAAUGGAGGAAACUCUGAUGCAGCGAUGCCGCGUGAGUGAAGAAGGCCUUUGGGUUGUAAAGCUCUUUCGUCGGGGAAGAAAAUGACUGUACCCGAAUAAGAAGGUCCGGCUAACUUCGUGCCAGCAGCCGCGGUAAUACGAAGGGACCUAGCGUAGUUCGGAAUUACUGGGCUUAAAGAGUUCGUAGGUGGUUGAAAAAGUUGGUGGUGAAAUCCCAGAGCUUAACUCUGGAACUGCCAUCAAAACUUUUCAGCUAGAGUAUGAUAGAGGAAAGCAGAAUUUCUAGUGUAGAGGUGAAAUUCGUAGAUAUUAGAAAGAAUACCAAUUGCGAAGGCAGCUUUCUGGAUCAUUACUGACGCUGAGGAACGAAAGCAUGGGUAGCGAAGAGGAUUAGAUACCCUCGUAGUCCAUGCCGUAAACGAUGUGUGUUAGACGUUGGAAAUUUAUUUUCAGUGUCGCAGCGAAAGCGAUAAACACACCGCCUGGGGAGUACGACCGCAAGGUUAAAACUCAAAUGAAUUGACGGGGACCCGCACAAGUAGUGGAGCAUGUGGUUUAAUUCGAAGAUACGCGCAGAACCUUACCAACACUUGACAUGUUCGUCGCGACUCUAAGAGAUUAGAGUUUUCGGUUCGGCCGGACGAAACACAGGUGCUGCAUGGCUGUCGUCAGCUCGUGUCGUGAGAUGUUGGGUUAAGUCCCGCAACGAGCGCAACCCUCACUUUUAGUUGCCAUCAUUUAGUUGGGCACUCUGAAAGAACUGACAGUGAUAAGCUGGAGGAAGGUGGGGAUGACGUCAAGUCCUCAUGGCCCUUACGUGUUGGGCUACACACGUGCUACAAUGGUAUCUACAACAGGAAGCAAGACGGCGACGUUUAGCAAAUCCUUAAAAGAUACCUCAGUUCGGAUUGCACUCUGCAACUCGAGUGCAUGAAGCUGGAAUUACUAGUAAUCGUGGAUCAGCGUGCCGCGGUGAAUGCGUUCCCGGGUCUUGUACACACCGCCCGUCACACCAUGGGAGUUGGUUCUACCUUAAGGCAAGGUUUAAAACCCUUGACCACGGUAUAGUCAGCGACUGGGGUGAAGUCAUAACAAGGUAGCCGUA
rnacentral:rRNA from 1 species